CCCCGCCUGGGGAGUACGGGUGAGGUAACGGCUCACCAAGGCAUCGACGGGUAGCUGGUCUGAGAGGAUGAUCAGCCACACUGGGACUGAGACACGGCCCAGACUCCUACGGGAGGCAGCAGUAGGGAAUAUUGCACAAUGGGCAAAAGCCUGAUGCAGCAACGCCGCGUGCGGGAAGAAGGCCCUAGGGUUGUAAACCGCUUUCAGCAGGGAAGAAAAUGACGGUACCUGCAGAAGAAGGUGCGGCCAACUACGUGCCAGCAGCCGCGGUGACACGUAGGCACCAAGCGUUGUCCGGAUUUAUUGGGCGUAAAGAGCUCGUAGGCGGUUCAGUAAGUCGGGUGUGAAAACUCUGGGCUCAACCCAGAGACGCCACUCGAUACUGCUGUGACUCGAGUGCGGUAGGGGAGCGGGGAAUUCCUAGUGUAGCGGUGAAAUGCGCAGAUAUUAGGAGGAACACCAGUGGCGAAGGCGCCGCUCUGGGCCGUAACUGACGCUGAGGAGCGAAAGCGUGGGUAGCAAACAGGAUUAGAUACCCUGGUAGUCCACGCCGUAAACGUUGGGCACUAGGUGUGGGUCUCAACCAACGAGAUCCGCGCCGUCGCUAACGCAUUAAGUGCCCCGCCUGGGGAGUACGG
rnacentral:rRNA from 1 species